rnacentral:rRNA from 1 species
UCCCGUAACGAGCGCAACCCUUGCCUUAGUUACCAGCACGUUAUGGUGGGCACUCGUAAGGAGACUGCCGGUGACAAACCGGAGGAAGUGGGGAUGACGUCAAGUCAUCAUGGCCCUUACGGCCUGGGCUACACACGUGCUACAAUGGUCGGUACAAAGGGUUGCCAAGCCGCGAGGUGGAGCUAAUCCCAUAGAACCGAUCGUAGUCCGGAUCGCAGUCUGCAACUCGACUGCGUGAAGUCGGAAUCGCUAGUAAUCGUGAAUCAGAAUGUCACGGUGAAUACGUUCCCGGGCCUU